UGACGGGGGCUGCUCCUAGUACGAGAGGACCGGAGUGGACGAACCUCUGGUGUACCGGUUGUGACGCCAGUCGCAUCGCCGGGUAGCUAAGUUCGGAAGAGAUAAACGCUGAAAGCAUCUAAGCGUGAAACUCGCCUGAAGAUGAGACUUCCCUAGGGAUUUAAUCCCUCUGAAGAGACGUUCGAGACCAGGACGUUGAUAGGUCGGGUGUGGAAGAGUGGUAACACUUGGAGCUAACCGAUACUAAUUGCUCGUGAGGCUUGACUCUAU
rnacentral:rRNA from 1 species